UUACGGCCAUAUCCUGAUGAAAUACCGUUUCUCGUACGAUCACCGAAGGUAAGCAACGUCGAGCUGGGUCACUACCGAGAUGGGUGACCGCUUUGGCAAAUCACUUGCUGA